rnacentral:rRNA from 1 species
CCUUCACGCGAUAGUACGUUACUAAGUCAAUGWAGACCCAACAACUAGUUGACAUCGUUUAGGGCGUGGACUACCAGGGUAUCUAAUCCUGUUUGCUCCCCACGCUUUCGUGCAUGAGCGUCAGUAUUGGCCCAGGGGGCUGCCUUCGCCAUCGGUAUUCCUCCACAUCUCUACGCAUUUCACUGCUACACGUGGAAUUCUACCCCCCUCUGCCAUACUCUAGCCCGCCAGUCACAAAUGCAGUUCCCAGGUUAAGCCCGGGGAUUUCACAUCUGUCUUAGCGAACCGCCUGCGCACGCUUUACGCCCAGUAAUUCCGAUUAACGCUUGCACCCUACGUAUUACCGCGGCUGCUGGCACGUAGUUAGCCGGUGCUUAUUCUUCCGGUACCGUCAUCCGCCACGGGUAUUAACCACGRCGUUUUCUUUCCGGACAAAAGUGCUUUACAACCCGAAGGCCUUCUUCACACACGCGGCAUUKCUGGAUCAGGCUUUCGCCCAUUGUCCAAAAUUCCCCACUGCUGCCUCCCGUAGAGUCUGGGCCGUGUCUCAGUCCCAGUGUGGCUGGUCGUCCUCUCAGACCAGCUACAGAUCGUCGCCUUGGUAGGCCUUUACCCCACCAACUAGCUAAUCUGCCAUCGG